rnacentral:rRNA from 1 species
CAGAGGGUGCAAACGUUGUUCGGAAUUACUGGGCGUAAAGCGCGUGUAGGCGGCAAGCCAAGUCGGGUGUGAAAGCCCUGGGCUCAACCCAGGAAGUGCAUUCGAUACUGGCAAGCUAGAGUCCCGGAGAGGAUGGUGGAACUCUCGGUGUAGAGGUGAAAUUCGUAGAUAUCGAGAAGAACACCGGUGGCGAAGGCGGCCAUCUGGACGGUGACUGACGCUGAGACGCGAAAGCGUGGGGAGCAAACAGGAUUAGAUACCCUGGUAGUCCACGCCGUAAACGAUGGGUGCUAGGUGUCACGGGUAUUGACCCCUGUGGUGCCGAAGCUAACGCAUUAAGCACCCCGCCUGGGAAGUACGGCCGCAAGGCUA